rnacentral:rRNA from 1 species
AGAUGUGUAUAAGAGACCGAAGCCAAAGCGACAAGCGAUGGUGGACCGGUUGGAAGUGAGAAUCCAGGUAUGAGUAACGAUAAAUAUGGUUAAAAUCCAUAUCGCCGUAAGGAUAAGGUUUCCUGGGGAAGGUUCGUCCGCCCAGGGUUAGUCGGGUGCUAAGGCGAGGCCGUAAGGCGUAGUCGAUGCACAACAGGUUAAUAUUCCUGUACCGUUUUAUAAGCGUUAUCACCAACGGAGGGACGAAGAAGGCUAUAACAGCGCGAGAUUGAUAGUUCGCGUCCAAGCGUGUAGGUUGUCCGGUAGGCAAAUCCGUCGGGCAUUAAGGCUGAAGCGUAAUGGGACCCCAAAGCUACGGUGGCGGGGGAUUGGAGGAUGCCAUGCUUCCAAGAAAAGCUUCGUUGGGAGUUUAUAGAACGCCCGUACCGCAAACCGACACAGGUAUCCGGGAUGAGUAUUCUAAGGCGCGUGAGUUAAAUCUCUCCAAGGAACUCGGCAAAUUUGCCCUGUAUCUUCGGUAUAAAGGGUGCCCCGUGCGAACGGGGUCGCAGUGAAGAAGCACAACCGACUGUUUAUCAAAAACACAGCUCUCUGCUAAGUCGUAAGACGACGUAUAGGGAGUGACACGUGACCAAUGCGGAAAGGUGAACAUCUGGGGUGAGAGCUCUGGGUCCAAGCCCCCGUGAAUGUCGGCCGUAACUAUAACGGUCCUAAGGUAGCGAAAUUCCUUGUCGGGUAAGUUCCGACCUGCACGAAUCGUGUAACGAGUUGUGCGCUGUCUCGGAGAGAUGCUCAGUGAAAUUGUAGUCGCGGUGCAGAUGCCGCGUAGCUGCAGCAGGACGGAAAGACCCUAUGCACCUUUACUGUACGUUGGUAUUGGUAUCUGGUUCUCAAUGCGUAGCAUAGGUGGGAGACUUUGAAGCCCUGAUUUAGGUCAGGGUGGAGUCAAUAGUGAAAUACCACUCUUUGCUUACUAGAUGUCUAACCCUGUACCGUUAGCCGGUCAGGGGACAUUGCUAGCUGGUCAGUUUUACUGGGGCGGUAUCCUCCCAAAGAGUAACGGAGGGUUGCGAAGGUUUCCUCAGCCCGUUCGGCAAUCGGGCUUAAGAGCAUAUUGGUAUAAGGAAGCUUUACUGUGAGACAUACAAGUCGAGCAGUUGCGAAAGCAGGCCAAAGUGAUCCGGUGGUGGAAUGUGGAAUCGCCAUCGCUCAAAGGAAAAAAGGUACGCUAGGGAUAACAGGCUGAUAGCGCCCAAGCGUUCAUAGCGACGGCGCUGUUUGGCACCUCGAUGUCGGCUCAUCACAUCCUGGGGCUGGAGAAGGUCCCAAGGGUUCGGCUGUUCGCCGAUUAAAGUGGUACGCGAGCUGGGUUCAGAACGACGUGAGUCAGUUCGGUCCUCUAUCCGCUGUAGCCGUAGGAGAUUUGAGGGGUUCAUUCCUUAGUACGAGAGGACCGGGAAUGACGGACCUCUGGUGUUCCGGUUAUCACGUCAGUGGUAGCGCCGGGUAGCUAAGUCCGGAAGAGAUAAGCGCUGAAAGCAUCUAAGCGCCAAGCUCCUCCCAAGAUAAGAUCUCACUGACCCGAUUUAUCGGGUCUAAAGGAUCCUGGUAGACCACCAGGUUGAUAGGCCGGAGGUGUAAGUACAGUAAUGUAUUAAGCUUACCGGUACUAAUGAUCCGAAAGAUUUGAUUCUU